rnacentral:rRNA from 1 species
GAGAGUUUGAUCCUGGCUCAGGACGAACGCUGGCGGCGCGCCUAACACAUGCAAGUCGAACGGAGCUGAGAGGAGCUUGCUUUUCUUAGCUUAGUGGCGAACGGGUGAGUAACGCGUGAGUAACCUGCCCUGGAGUGGGGGACAACAGUUGGAAACGACUGCUAAUACCGCAUAAGCCCACGGCCCGGCAUCGGGCUGAGGGAAAAGGAUUUAUUCGCUUCAGGAUGGACUCGCGUCCAAUUAGCUAGUUGGUGAGGUAACGGCCCACCAAGGCGACGAUUGGUAGCCGGACUGAGAGGUUGAACGGCCACAUUGGGACUGAGACACGGCCCAGACUCCUACGGGAGGCAGCAGUGGGGGAUAUUGCACAAUGGGGGAAACCCUGAUGCAGCGACGCCGCGUGGAGGAAGAAGGUUUUCGGAUUGUAAACUCCUGUCGUUAGGGACGAUAAUGACGGUACCUAACAAGAAAGCACCGGCUAACUACGUGCCAGCAGCCGCGGUAAAACGUAGGGUGCAAGCGUUGUCCGGAAUUACUGGGUGUAAAGGGAGCGCAGGCGGACCGGCAAGUUGGAAGUGAAAACUAUGGGCUCAACCCAUAAAUUGCUUUCAAAACUGCUGGCCUUGAGUAGUGCAGAGGUAGGUGGAAUUCCCGGUGUAGCGGUGGAAUGCGUAGAUAUCGGGAGGAACACCAGUGGCGAAGGCGACCUACUGGGCACCAACUGACGCUGAGGCUCGAAAGCAUGGGUAGCAAACAGGAUUAGAUACCCUGGUAGUCCACGCGGUAAACGAUGAAUACUAGAUGUCGGGUAGCAAAGCUACUCGGUGUCGUCGCAAACGCAAUAAGUAUUCCACCUGGGGAGUACGUUCGCAAGAAUGAAACUCAAAGGAAUUGACGGGGACCCGCACAAGCGGUGGAGCAUGUGGUUUAAUUCGAAGCAACGCGAAGAACCUUACCUGCUCUUGACAUCCCAUUCGAUAGAGGGUAAUGCCUCUAGCCCUUCGGGGGAAUGGAGACAGGUGGUGCAUGGUUGUCGUCAGCUCGUGUCGUGAGAUGUUGGGUUAAGUCCCGCAACGAGCGCAACCCUUAUUGUCAGUAGCCAGCAGUGAAGCUGGGCACUCUGAUGAGACUGCCGGGGAUAACCCGGAGGAAGGUGGGGAUGACGUCAAAUCAUCAUGCCCCUUAUGAGCAGGGCUACACACGUGCUACAAUGGCGUAAACAGAGGGAAGCGAAGGAGUGAUCUGGAGCAAAUCUCAAAAAUAACGUCUCAGUUCGGAUUGUAGUCUGCAACUCGACUACAUGAAGCUGGAAUCGCUGGUAAUCGCAGAUCAGAAUGCUGCGGUGAAUACGUUCCCGGGUCUUGUACACACCGCCCGUCACACCAUGGGAGUCGGUAAUGCCCGAAGUCAGUGACUCAACCGAAAGGAGAGAGCUGCCGAAGGCAGGACUGGUAACUGGGGUGAAGUCGUAACAAGGUAGCCG